CCUACGGGAGGCAGCAGUGAGGAAUAUUGGUCAAUGGCCGGAAGGCUGAACCAGCCAUGCCGCGUGAAGGUCAGUGCCCUAUGGGCGUUAAACUUCUUUUGUGCGGGAGCAAUAAUGGUCACGUGUGGCCAGACGAGAGUACCGUACGAAUAAGCAUCGGCUAACUCCGUGCCAGCAGCCGCGGUAAUACGGGGGAUGCAAGCGUUAUCCGGAUUUAUUGGGUUUAAAGGGUGCGUAGGCUGUGAGGUAAGUCAGCGGUGAAAUGCCCCCGCUCAACGGGGUGAAGUGCCAUUGAUACUGCCUUGCUUGAGUGCAGAUGCGGUGGGAGGAAUGUGUGGUGUAGCGGUGAAAUGCAUAGAUAUCACGCAGAACACCGAUUGCGAAGGCAUCUCACGAAUCCGCGAUUGACGCUGAUGCACGAAAGCGUGGGUAUCAAACAGGAUUAGAUACCCCAGUAGUC
rnacentral:rRNA from 1 species